CGCUCUACCUCAACAACUUCCUUAUGUACCUGGGCCUCACUGACCCUCAGAAGGAAAGAGAAAAGUCCCAGCAGCCACACGUACAUCCUGGCAUGCAGUUGAGGCGCUUGUGGUGGAGGCUGGGUCCGUCUGAAUCCUCUUCCUGUCCCCAGAGGAACUGGAAGCUGGACGGGGAGGAAGACUGCUGCUCUGGAACAGAGCCAGUUAAUGUGUGGAAACUGCUCUGCAGCUGCUCAACCACACCUGGGAGAGAGUGAGAGGAGAAAGAGUCCUGAACCUGGUGCUGCAGAGCAAGAUGGCUAAAACACAUGGCUUACAGGAACGAAGGCAAUUAGAGGUUCUGCUGGUUUACAUUUCCACAAUUUCAUGUGAUCUGAUUUCAGUCAGUAACAUUUUAUAACAAGGGUACAUUAAUUCACAAUACGUACAACAGAAUGUCUCAACUAAUUCUCAAUUGACACUAGUUAGAGACAAUAUUAAUAAUUACUAUUUAACAAUUUUUAGCAUUACAAGUGUGUUUAAUAAUGUAUCUUAUCUAAUUAAUAGUUAGUUUAUACAUUACUUAACCAUUUGUGUAAACCAAUGUUUGUUACUGUUGUAAAUACUAUUAUUUGUGACCCUUAUUGUAAAGUGUUACCAAAAGGACCCCCAAAUAAUACAGUACAACAACAGAGAAUACAAAGAGUUGACCUUUAAAUGUGGUUUUCAGUUUUCACGUGUAACACAAUAAGAGAAUUUUGUAGCAAAUGAAAGUUAAAAAAACAGAACAAUAGAGGUAGGGCAGAAUAAUAAUAAAUUGAUCGGUAAAUAUAUAGUAUAUAUAUAUUCCAAUAGAAAAUGUGUCAAUAAAGGUUUUAGAAUUAUUUACAGCAUCUUUUCCUGACUGAUGUUUACAAGUUACAUUGUAUGAACUGGCAAAUUCACUGGCUAUUGAUUGGAAAUUGUGACCCAACAUACAUUCAAUUUUUCAGAUGUUUGCAGACAAAGAUUGUGCUCUUUUGCUGUUUUUUAGGCUUGUAUAAUGUUUAUAUAAAUAUAUCUAUUAUAUUGUAUCAACCAAAAUUAAGAAAUAUAUCGUGGCUAUAUUGUUCAUUGUUUAGGCAUUGUUCAUGCCUAAAUUUCCUUCGGGAUAAAUGAAGCGCGCGCGUGCGUGCGUCUGUCUGUCUGUCUGCCCUAGAAAAGACAUUAACUUAGGGUGGGUCUAACUUACGUCGUCUUUUUAGCACCACAGCCUUGUGCUUCAUUGCUGGAAUGAGCACCUUCUUGGACUUCCAUGGUCGCCUGAAGGAGCACAAUAGUGUAAAUAUUAGAGUCAAAGGUUAUUUAAUAUACUUUAUUGAAAGAAAUAGUAAAUUAUCAGAAUUAACUACAACUUACCUAGCCUCAAAAAGCUCUUCUCUCUGUCUGGCGCGCUCUAGAGCAGGAUGCACAGUCAUAUACCAUGCUUUCAAACUAAACAUCUUGCUGCCUGCCAAAACAUAGACAUAGACAACCUAUUAUUAUUAAGGGAGACAAAAACCAAACCUCCAUGGCCCUGUGUGAAAAAGUGUUUGCCUCCUACACCUAAUAAUUAUUAACAAGUUAUUUCACAGCACUGUGAAGGAAUUUUGUCCAAAGUCUUCUUUGCAAAAUUGUUGUUAUUUUACUACAGUUUUCCAGCAUGAACCGUCUUUUUAAGGUCAUGCCACAGGAUCUCAAUAGGAUUCAGGUCAGGACUUUGCCUAGGUCACUGCAGAGAAUUCACUUUGUUUUGUUCAGUUUGUUCAUCAGCCAUUCAGAAAUUAACUUGCUGGUGUGUUUUGGAUCAUUGUCCUGCUGCAGAACACAAGUUUGUUUCAACUUAAGGUCACGAACUGAUGGCCGGACAUUCUUCUUUAGGACUUUUGGUAGACAGCAGAAUUGGUGUUUCCAUUUAUCACAGCAAGUCUUUCAGGUCCUAAAGCAGCAAAACAGGCCUAGAACAUCAAAGUACCACCACGUUUACUGUAGGUAUAAUGUUCUUUUUCUGAAAUGUGUUACUUUUACGCCAGAUGUAAUGGAACACACCCCUUCCAAAAUGUUCAACUUUUGUCUCAUCAGUACAGAGUAUUUUCCCAAAAGUUAGGGGAUCAUCAAGAUGUUUUCUGGCAAAAUUGAGAUGAGUUAUACUGUUAUUUUUGCUCAACAGUGUUUUGUUUUGUUCUUAUGUUAAACUCAUAAACGCUGACCUUAACUGAGACAUGUGAGGCCUGCAUUCCUUUGAAUGUUGUUGAGGGGUCUUUUUUGACCUCUUGAAUGAGUCACUGCUGCGCCCUUGGGGUAAUUUUGGUCGUCCAGGUACUCCUGUGAAGGUUCACUACUGUUCUGUGUUUUUACUAUUUGUGGAUAACGGCUCUCACUGUGGUUUGCUGAUGUCCUUAAACUUUAGAAAUGUCUUUAUAACCUUUUUCUCAUACUUGUGUUAUCUUUGACUAAUAUCUAAAUUAGUUUGAUGAUCUGAAACAUUUAAGAGCAAACAUGCGAAAAAAUAAGAAAGACAUCAUGAAGGGAGCAAACACUUUGUCACACCACUAUAAAAUUACUGAAAAGACAACACAAAAUGGAAGACAGUAUCAUUUGAAAACUGCUGCACAGAUGUUGGCAUAAUCACACUUGUCUUCCUACCUUGCUUGGAAGUUUUCUUCUUGCCUUGGUCGUCUUUUUUCACUGCUUUCCUUGAUAAUGUCCUUUAGAAAAUGUAACAGCAAUAUAAGCCAAUAAAAUAUUCUGAGUAAACUCCCCAAUGAUGAUCAUGAAAUGUGUUUCAAUUUUGGGGUGGACUUAAAUGAGGCUGGCAGUUUGUGUUGCAGAGACUCUUAAGCACCAAAUAUAAGGUAAAAAUAUAAUGAUUAGAGACAUAAAUAAUUCCUUCUAUUCAAUAAAGAAUUCCACUGAUAAAAGCUCUAUGUUUUCUGAAUGCACAAUAAGGAAAUAAAAGUGAGAUCUGUUUUCCUAAAA